rnacentral:lncRNA from 1 species
AGUUCUGUCUUCCUGAGGCUGCUGUUUCUGGGCAUGGCCAGGGGAUCUUCAGACUUUACAAACCAGUUGUGCAGAGCCAGGCAUUUCAAUAAGGAACAAAAUGCUGAGUAACAACAUGAAGUCAGAGUGUUGCUUGCCAAGAGCUGGGAGGCCUGGGUGGUUUCCCAAUCUUAAAGAAGCAGAAGGAUAUUAAAGUGAGCCUCCCAAAGGAAAACGUGGAUCUACUUACCAACGCAGAAAAUGAUACACACGGAUUCGAUUUAGGCACGCUACAUUCAAAUGACUUGGAAGAGCAGGUUCUCUGAGCCAGGAUACUAAAGUCCCUGUUUAGGAAAGAGCCACGUUGUAUGUUUACCCUACCACAAAGAUACAGUCAUGUGCCUGGGAAAGAUUGAUGCCAGCUCCAGAAAGGCAUCCGAAUGGUCUAAGUAAUGCCAUCCAUCUGUCAGUAAUAGAUUCAGAAAUGGUGCUGGCAGAGGAAACAGCAGCAAUGAUGCUCUGCGAGCCUGACUCAGGGCCAGCAGUGAUGGCAGCCCAAGAAUUCUGGAGGAAAGUGGCUCUGGGAAUUGAACAGUGGCUCAGUGAUGUUGGGGCCACCAAGUCUGCAAUUCUCCCUACCUGUUCUUCAUGGUUGUAAGAUGACUGCUGCAAUUCUCGGCAUCAUGUGCAUGUUAAUGUCAGGAGGAAGAAAGGAAGAGGGAGCACUGGGAUGUUACAUUCAUUUUGUCAGGAAAAGCAAAGCCUUUCCAGACAGCUCCGAAACUUGCUUACCUCUCAUUGGCCAGCACCAUCACUUGACCACUUGUCCACUCCUAGCUGCAAGGAAAGUGGCAAAGUAGAAGGUAUUUGAGAAUGUCUGCUGGGUUAGCCAAAACAAUAGUGACUUCUACACCCAAUUUUCUGGGCACUGCAGAAGUAUCCUUGAGUCCUAUGUGAUCAGAGGGAGAGCAAACCUCAAUAAUGAAACAGAUUCAAUUUCCAUCACCCAGUGAGACACCAUGGGAUUAGAAUAAAUUUUUAAAAAAACAAAUUGAAAAAAAUGCAUUUUUAAAACAACAAAAUCAGAAAGGAUGAAAGGUGAUAUUUCUAGCAUAUCAGUUUGUGGUGGUAAAUUAAUUACCUUAUACAAAGGCCUCAGUGACUUUCUUCUCCUUACCUAACGAAUCAUCUUUAAAAUAAGUAAAAUAAAGAAACAAGAGCAGCAGCAGAUGCUUCCUAAAAAGAAGUUACCAAAUCUGUUCACCACAAACCUGAGAAUUCAACUGUGGACAUUUGGACACCAGCAAUGAACAUGAAACUCAGCUUAUGAGGCAUAUUUGGCUAAAGGUCAAGGUGACUUAAAGUUCAUCAUAGGACAUCUACAAUUUGCAAAGCAGGUGACUGGAUAUGGACUCCUUCCAAGUCUCAUUUAAUUGGAUAAUGCCUACGUUUUAAGUAUCAGAAGUGAGUCUUUCUCUAUUAAAUGAAGUCAGUUCCACUAAAACCUAAAUCUUGUUUGGCAGGCACUCCAUGUUUCUUAAUUUUUAUUCCAUGCUGUAUAUUCUUUUAGACUUGAUUUUCACUUUUUUUUCUUUUUUCCUGUACAUUUAUCUUUGCUGUGAAACAAAGUGCCCUGCUUUGAAGGACAGGUUUGUGGGCUGCUGGUGGUGAGACAACAGCAGUCCUUCCAAGUCUUCCUCCCAUCACUCUGUUAGCUCUCCCUUUGUUUUUAAUUAGCAUUACACCAGUUAAUUCUGUUAUCUCUUAACCCUGGUUCUGCAUCCUCUUCUUCUUUUCUAUUCCUUACUCCGCUCCUGUUUUUUCUUGUUCUGCUUUUCCAAGAAAUGUCUUGUCUCCUCAUCAGUUGACUGUCUUCUCUUUCCAGAGGGACCAUAAAGGUGCCAGCCUAAGGAACACGUAAAACGUGGGAACAGACAAACAAGCUGCUGCCUAUUACAGAGAUAGAUAAUUAACUUUGGACCAUUACAUGCAAUUCAUCAGCUUAUCUUUUUCAAACUUUAUAUAAGAAGUCAUUUCCCAAUGGUAACCACUUGCCAGCUGCAACUUUGACGCAUAUUAUCAGGAUAGGUGAGAUUGAUGGGGGCCCUUUGAACUCUUCCCAGGGAAUUAUCUUUAUAAUGUUACAGUUUUCUCUAUAGCAUGGUCAUAUUGUUAACAUUGGUUAUAAGGUCAUAUGGUUAGUAUGGUUAGUAUUGGUGGCUCACAGCUGUAAUACCAGCACUUUGGGAGGCCAAGGUGGGAGGAUCACUUGAGCCCUGGUGUUCAAAACCAGCUCUGGAAACAUAGCAAGACCUUGUCUCUACAAAAAAAAAUUAAAUAAAUUAAAA